rnacentral:rRNA from 1 species
CCUACGGGAGGCAGCAGUGAGGAAUAUUGGUCAAUGGACGAGAGUCUGAACCAGCCAAGUAGCGUGAAGGAUGACUGCCCUAUGGGUUGUAAACUUCUUUUAUAUGGGAAUAAAACAGGGUAUGCAUACCCUCUUGUAUGUACCAUAUGAAUAAGGAUCGGCUAACUCCGUGCCAGCAGCCGCGGUAAUACGGAGGAUCCGAGCGUUAUCCGGAUUUAUUGGGUUUAAGGGGAGCGUAGGUGGAUUUUUAAGUCAGUUGUGAAAGUUUGCGGCUCAACCGUAAAAUUGCAGUUGAAACUGGCAGUCGUGAGUACAGUAGAGGUGGGCGGAAUUCGUGGUGUAGCGGUGAAAUGCUUAGAUAUCACGAAGAACUCCGAUUGCGAAGGCAGCUCACUGGACUGCAACUGACACUGAUGCUCGAAAGUGUGGGUAUCAAACAGGAUUAGAUACCCGGGUAGUC